rnacentral:lncRNA from 1 species
UGCCGCCGUGUCGGGUGGCGGUGUGCUUUGCCUCGUUGUGAUUGAUUCGUAUGGGGUGCUUGAAACCCUAAUGGGCCCGAAGAAGCCUUAAUGAGGUUAGUGAAACCCUAUUGGGCCUAAUAAAGCCCUAGUUGACAUUAAAGCCCAAACAUGUGUCUAAUGGGCUUAAUGGACCCUAAUGGAUCCAAGGACUUAACUAAUGGGUCUAUUGGGCUAAGAUGGGUUGGAAACCCUAAUUAGGGUUUAGAAAACCCUAAUAUUGGACUUAUGGGCUUGGACUUAUUGAGACCCAUUUGUGGGCCAUUGGAAUAAUGGAAUUGUGUGAUUAAGCCCAAUCACACCAUAUGACUUAUUUAGAAAAAUGAUAGACUUAAUGGAUUAAGUCCUUAAUGGGUUAAGUGAGAAAUACUUAACCCUAAUCGUCAUUUUAUGUGAAACCCUAAUUUCACAUGGGUGUAUUGUUGGGCCUUCUAUUGGGCCUUGAGGAUUGCGUUAUUAAUGGGCCAUCCAAAGUCAAGCAAAUGGACUAGAAUAUUUAAUGGGCCUAGGGUAAGGCCCAUGUAAGGGGUUUGGGCCCAAUUUGGAAAAUUGGGCAUAGAGGGGCCACAGUUUGGGCCUUAAUGAUUAUAUGAUGUUGGGCCUUAGAAUGAGACCAUGUAUAGGCUUGGGCCCAAUUUGGAAAAUUGGGCCAUAUGUUGGACUUUGAGUCUUAGUCGACUUUGGGCCUAUGAAUUGGGCCUUGGGCUUGAAUAAGCCAAGCUAGGGGUAAUGUAGUAAUUACCCAAAGCAUGUACUUAUGGUUAUGUAGUGGAACCCAAUUAUUAAUUGGGUGAUGUUUUGAUAUUGACAGAUCGGGAAUCUGUCAUCCAGUAGCUGGGGUUGAGUCUGCGGGACGUCAGCAGUAUGGAGUUGAGUCUUCGGGACUUCAGCAGUGCGAGGUGAGUUACCCUCCAGUAGGAGUGGGUCUACGGCCACAAUGUCGACCCACUAGUAGGAGUUAAUUGUUAGAUGAUUGCCUUUGUGAUAAUUAUCUGGUGUGUUGUUAUCUGAUAUGCUUUAUGUGCUAGGAUGCUAUGACAUAUGUGUUAGUAGCGGUAGGGGUGAUAUAGCCCAUAGUUACCGGUUGAAAGAUACCGAAGGGGUAGAUAGUACCCCAGGCAUGCCUAGCAGUAUGAUCAUGAUAUGUUAUUAUGUGGUAGUGGUAAGGGGUGAAAUAGUCCCCGGUUACUGAUUGAAAGAUACCGAAAGCAGUUAUCGGUUGAAAGAUACCGAAGGGGUAGACAGAACCCAUGUAUGAUAUGUUAUUAAGUGACCAUUAUGGUUAUGAUAUGCCAUUAUGUGAUUCAGUAUGUUUAUGUUAUGUUAUCAUGGAACCAAUAUGUUUAUGACAUGUUAUUAUAUGAUAGUGGUGGGGGUGAAAUAGUCCCCGGUUACCGGUUGAAAGAUACCAAUGGCGGAUACUGGUUGAAAGAUACCGAAGGGGUAUACAGAACCCAUGCAAGGCUUAUCUGUUUGUUUAUGAUAUGUUGGUAUGUGAUCAUUAUGUUAUGAUGUUAGUAUGUGAUCGAUAUGUUAUGAUGUUAGUAUGUGAUCAGUAUGCUAUGAUAUUAGUAUGUGACCAGUAUGUUUAUGAUAUAUUAUUAUGUGAUGGUGGUGGGGGUGAAAUAGUCCCCGGAUACCUGUUGAAAGAUACCGAUGGCGGAUACCGGUUGAAAGAUACCGAUGUCGGAUACAGGUUGAAAGAUACCGAUGGCAGUUACCGGUUAAAAAAUACCGAUGAUAUUAUGUGGUAUGUGGUAUGAUGAGGGAACUCACUAAGCUUCGUGCUUACGGUUUAUAAUUUUGGUUUCAGGUGCUUUGUUUGCAAAGGAAAGGAGCCGGCUUGAUCGCAGCGCAUCACACUAUGUUUUCCGCACACUAGAUCCUUGGGAUUAUACUCUGAUAUGGUUUCAUAAUAUUAUAUUUUGAUUAUUCACACUUUGGUUUUAUGUAAUAACCUAAUUAAAAAUGAAAUUUUUGGCCUUGAAUUUUGG